rnacentral:lncRNA from 1 species
CGACACUGACUGGGAGUACUAAUCUGUAGUGCCGCAUCGUCACAAUCUUGGCGAGCGAGAGAGAGAGAGAGAGAGAGAGACAGAGAGAGAGGAUGGGCUCCAUGGGAGGACCGGCGAGCGGGUCCGCGGCGCCUGAGCGGGACAUCGACGAUCUGCCGCGGAACGACGCCAACUACACGGCGCUCACGCCGCUCUGGUUCCUCGAGCGCGCGGCGCUGGCGCAGCCGGGCAGGGCGUCCGUCGUGCACGGCCCCGUGCGCUACACCUGGGCCGACACCUAUCGCCGCUGCCGCCGCCUCGCAUCCGCCCUCGCGCGCCGAUCCGUCGGCCACGGAAGCACGGUGAAUUUACUCGAUUUCCUUCUGUGGUUUCUAUUUUCUCCAUUUUUUUAUACACAGUAGUAAUUUAUUAUAAUUUAUUAAGGUCGAUGUUUUCUCCCCUAAAGCAUAUAAACUCGUGGACUGUGUCCGGAUUUUUUGGGGGUACUUUUAAUUAUAUGAGUUGUGCACUAACAAUAGAGUAAAAAAGUUAAUUUUCAAUUCUGCUACCAUGGAGAUUUGGACGGGACCAGAGUGUACAGUGAUUAGAAUUUCAGUACCUUUUUAUAUGCAAGAUGAGCCGUUUGCGACAAUCAGGAGGCCCUUUUCCUGAUUGCUACCUUUGCAAGUAGGAUAUAUAGUCUUUGUAUUUUAAAAAAGUAGAAAAAAAACUGGUGUGUUAUAUGUAGUUAUCCCCAUGUUAACUUAUUUAUUCAGUUCUUCAUUUUUUUUAAAUGUAGUUUUCUGAUUGCUGUAUAUUCGUGUAAUCGUGUUGCAUCUUAAUAGGCAUUAAUGUUAUGAUCAGCCGUGAUACGUUUCCCUGCUCUUCCGCUAUGUAGUAGUUACCCUUUGUUAUCUAGUAUAAGCAGCCAAAGCAGGUGAUCUUCCCUGUUUAUAAGGUGCUAUUUAUGUUGGAUUACCUAUUCCAGAUAGAUUCGUUUGUGUAGGCAGGAUGUAGUGGAAUUGUCUAGUCCAGAUCAGUAGCAAGUGGCUGCAGAUUGUUGCAUCUUUUUUCGCCAACUAGUAAAUUGUGGUAUACCCUUGCUUUUAGAAGGUGCCUGAACUGAUGUUACUCUAUGCUUUGCUCAGCAAAAUGAAAUAUGGCAAUCCUACUGUUUCUAGUCAAAAUAAGAUAAGCUUAUCUUAUUCUUGUCUUGUGCAUGACACUGGACUCUGUCUCUGUCACUCUGUGAGACUUAAGACUACAAAAUAAAAACACAUCCAACCUUGUAGCAGAAAAAAGGCAUUCCUGAUUCCUCGCAAAGAAAAAAAAAACUUGUCGAAUGACGAUCUAUAUAUUUUUAAAUGAUGUUUAUAUUUAAUUUGUGUUGCCACUGCACAUCUACAACAAAACUAAUUUUUAUAAAAUUAACUGGUGACCCAUUUAGCUACUAACAUAAACACUCUGGUUACGUAGUUCCUAGGGUAUUACUUACCGUAUUCCGGUGCCCUUUUACAUUUUUAUAAAGAAACAGAUAUUUAUUUCUUAUCUUUAUACAUAUUUUGCUUUACUGAUAUCGACUGAUUUGUUUUUGGUUUCUUUAGGUUGCUGUGAUAGCCCCUAAUGUCCCAGCUGUCUAUGAAGGUCACUUUGGUGUCCCAAUGUCAGGAGCUGUUGUGAACUGCGUCAAUAUUCGGUUAAACGCUGAGACAAUAGCAUUCCUCCUUGAACACUCUGUGGCAGAAGUUGUUAUGGUAGACCAAGAAUUCUUCACCCUAGCUGAAGAAUCACUAAAGAUAAUUGCCAAGAAGAAGACAUCGGCUUUCAGGCCUCCAAUCUUGAUCGUCAUCGGUGACCCAACCUGUGAUCCAAAGUCUCUACAGUAUGCUCUAGGAAAGGGUGCUAUAGAGUAUGAAGAGUUUCUGAAAACUGGUGACCCAGAGUUCAAUUGGAAGCCACCAAAGGAUGAAUGGCAGAGCAUCGCCCUAGGCUACACUUCUGGGACUACUUCCAGCCCAAAAGGCGUCGUGUUGCAUCACCGUGGUGCUUAUCUCAUGGCACUCAGUGUUGCCAUUGUGUGGGGAAUGCCUGAAGGGGCUGUCUAUUUGUGGACUCUGCCCAUGUUCCAUUGUAAUGGUUGGUGCUAUACUUGGGCGCUGGCAGCCUUCUGUGGAACAAGCAUAUGUCUUCGCCAGGUAUGUUAACCAUUUAUGUCCUGGACGACACUUUGGUCCUAAAUUUAUGUAUGAAUUUAUUAUGCAGGGUACAUUUAAUUUUAGCUACAUAUACUCAAUUAUUUGGUGAAAAAACAAGAACACUUUGCAUACAAUUCGUUUGAGCUCUGGUGAUUAUGAUUUCUGAAACACCAUUUUGCACUUUGCAGGUGAGCACAAAGGCUAUAUACGAAGGCAUUACCAAGCAAGGAGUGACACACUUCUGUGCCGCACCUGUCGUCCUCAACAACCUGAUCAACGCUCCGGCAAGCGAGACAUUCCUGCCGCUGCCCCACGUCGUCAAUGUCAAUGUGGCCGGAGCCGCCCCGACGCCGUCCUUGCUGGCUGCACUGUCCAUCCGCGGCUUCCGCGUGACGCACACGUACGGCCUGUCAGAGACCUACGGCCCCUCGACGGUGUGCGCGUGGAAGCCCGAGUGGGACGAGCUGCCGCUGGAGGAGCGGUCCCGCCUGCACUGCCGGCAGGGGAUCAGGUACAUCGCGAUGGAGGGCCUGGACGUCGUGGACCCGAAGACGAUGGCGCCCGUCCCGGCCGACGGCAAGUCGUACGGCGAGAUCGUGCUGCGGGGCAACGCCGUGAUGAAGGGGUACCUCAAGAACCCCAAGGCAAACGCGGAGGCGUUCGCGGGCGGGUGGUACCAUUCGGGCGACCUCGGCGUGAAGCACCCCGACGGGUACGUGGAGGUGAGGGACCGGAUGAAGGACGUGAUCAUCUCGGGAGGGGAGAACAUCAGCAGCCUGGAGGUGGAGAAGGUGGUGUGCACGCACCCGGCGGUGCUCGAGGCCUCGGUGGUCGCCAGGGCCGACGAGCGGUGGGGCGAGUCGCCGUGCGCGUUCGUGACGCUCAAGGACGGAGCAGCCGAUGGGUCGGACGAGGCGGCGCUGGCCAACGACAUCAUGCGAUUCUGCCGGGAGAGGAUGCCGGGGUACUGGGUGCCCAAGUCGGUGAUCUUCGGGCCGCUGCCCAAGACGGCCACGGGGAAGAUCAAGAAGCACGAGCUGAGGGCCAAGGCCAAAGAGCUCGGCCCUGUGAUUGUGAAGAAGAGCAGGAUGUGAGAGAUCUGGGGCGAUAGCGUGUCAUUGGGCAAGGACUCAGAAUCUUGCUCGAAGUCGUCGUGCAUACAAAAUUCCUGAGUUCUGAAGAGGCCUAAUAACUUGAGUGCUUUGCUUGUAUCGUUCUGAAACCAGAAGUUCAGAUCAGAUUCGGUAUAUAAGUAAGAACUGAGAUAAAUUUGUAUAGUGGUUUGGAGGCAGCAUAUGCUGAGGAGAUGACGUUUCUUGAGAAGAAUUAGCGCCAAAGGUCGCGUGCGCGCGCCUGUAGUAAUCCUGAUGUUUCCGACGUCCGUCCGUUCUGGGCUUCUGCUCAUGUUGGAAGAACAGGUCACACACAGGGCGCAUGGUUUGGGUUUCGUUUCGUGAAGGCGACCGAUAAGAUCCUUCUCAAUCUUCACUUGCAGUCAUGGCGACAAAAUUGGCAAUAGAAUCCGAUAGUUAUGUCAGUUGCGGUUCUUUUUUCUUCUUUUUUGGAGAAAGAAAAUGCUGCGUUUUUCGAAGCCGCGACGUGUUCAACGAGAGCUAUCUCCGGAGUGCUGCUUCAAACCUUACCUUGCUAUAGUACUGGCUGUUUCCAACAAAUUUUCUCCACCGCGAGUUAAGCGUGACGACAAAACCCAAAAGCUCCCGAGCAAUCGAGAGGUCCGGCAAAAAGCGACGUUUCGAGCCAACGCUAAUCUGAGAAGGACGUUUAGAUUUCUUCAAGAUUCUAAAAGUCUAUAAGAUUUCUUAUUUAAACAUAUGUAUGAAGCAUUAAAUAUAGACAAAAACUAAUUGUACAACCUAUAAUUUGCAAGACGAAUCUUUUAAGUUUAGUUAGUCCAUAGUUAAACAAUAACUAUCAAAUACAAAUGAAAAUACUAUAUCAAAAUCUAAAAAGAUUUUGGAUCUAAACAAGGCCUUAGUGUGGUUUCGUCGGCAUCAUAAAAAAUAGAGUUUGUUGCAUUUCUUUAGAUGCUCUAAUAACUUUACUAUUUCUUUCUCGAAUAACAUACGUAAAAGUGAAAUCAUUUGACUUAAAAAAACACGAAACAGAGCUAAAAUACGUGAAAAUAGGGCAGUCUCAAACAUCCCUGUAUUCUGCCAUAAUUUCAUUGCUCGAAAAAAACAUGAUGUGUGGCGUUUCGAUUGUUUUAGAGAGUUUUUUAAAGUUUUACCAAAAUUAUAGUAAAAAUUAUAAAGAUCUAUGACAUCAAAUUUAAAAUAUAAUUAAUAAUGAAUCUAGUAUUGGUAUCUUAGAUGUUAUUAUUUUAUUACAUAAAUUUGGUCAAACUUGAUACGUUUUGACUCUAAAAAAUUAAAAUAACUUAUAGAUGAAGGGAGUAGUCAUCUCCCGGAGUUUGGUACAACUUUCUAUCUCAAAUUUUUAGCAAAAAGAGAAAAAAAAAUCCUCUCCAACAAUUUAGCAAAAGAAGUAGUUAAAAAUAAAAAGUUGUUAAAUAUCCUCUUCAACUCACAAGUUUGCAAAGUGGAGAAAACUCCUUUUUCCUCUAGUAAAAGAUAUGAUUGGUUCUAUAAACCAAAAAACAACAAAUAAAUAUGAACCCUACUAUAAAUUUUUAAAUUUUAGAAAGCUAUUAUUGGUUACUGUUGGAGAAGAACAAAAUUUAUAAUUGUUAUUUCUUUUAUUAACUUGCUAGACCUAUUGAUUUAGUAAGUAAAUUGUACUAAACUCUUGGAGAUACCCCCUCAAUUCUAGUUCUAGGUAUAAGUUUCGAAGUUUCUUGUCAAUUGUAAGGUAGUUUAAAUACCUAAUAACCGUAUUCAUGCAUGUGUAUGCUUUGAGCCUCAUCCAUGCAUAUCUUUUGAAUAUCGUUUUGGCCUUGUUUACUUCCACCCCAAAAUUCAAAAUUUUUUAAGAUUCUCCGUCACAUCGAAUCUUUAGAUACAUGCAUAGAGUAUUAAAUGUAGACAAAAAUAAAAACUAAUUCUAUUGUUUGGUCGGAAUUUACAAGACGAAUCUUUUGAACCUAGUUAGUCCUUGGUUGGACAAUAAUUAACACAAACAAACGAAAAGUGAUACAGUGUCGUGAAAUUUUUCCCUUAAAGAACUAAGGCCUUGUUUACUUCCAAAAAAUUUUGCAAAAUAGGAAUAGUAGCAUUUUCAUUUGUAUUUGACAAAUAUUGUCCAAUUAUAGAUUAACUAGGCUCAAAAGAUUCAUCUCGUAAAUUCUAAUUAAACUGUGUAAUUAGUUUUUAUUUUCAUCUAUAUUUAUAAUACUCCAUGCAUACGUCUAAAGAUUCGAUGUGACGGGAAAUCUGAAAAAUUUUGCAAAAUUUUUAGAGAACUAAACAAGGCCUAAACACGGCUUAUAGAUAACUGUUGCCAUAUGACAGAUAUCAAUCACUUGAUCAAUCCAGCAAUAACCCUUCUUUUUUUGGUUGAUUGAGGAGGCCAGCUCUUCUACCACCAUGCAAUUCAUGCAUUCCUGAAUAUACUUGAAUAGCAAUCGCCAUCUAAGGAUCCGUCUAUCUACCACCAAAAACUGGACGCCUGUCCACACCGCCCAUAAACAAACAGCAGAAAUUCCCGAAAUCCAACCGGAACGGAUCAGCCUCGGCGUUAGCCACCACCCGCCGGCCGCCGCCUAGCGCCACCCACCAACCUUCCCCGCACAGACGCCGUGCGCACUGCGCCGCCGCCAUUAAAAAACCCGAGCCACGGGCAGCGCCCGGCAGAUCCCCACCGCCCGCUCCUCAUCUCCGACCUCCCCCGCACCACGGGAUCGACCCGGCGCGCGCCAGCUGCAGCGGCUGUCCAAAAACACACAUAAAAAACGGCAAAGCGAAGCGCCCCACUUGUUCGGACGACUCUGCGCGCUCCGGAUCCCACCCCCACACACAAGUCAAAGUCACGCCUCAGCUCUGCCGAGGCCGGCAUUGGUGGUGUGGUGCGCGGCGGAGAUGGCGGCGGAGCGGGACAUCGACGACCUGCCGCGGAACGACGCCAACUACACGGCGCUCACGCCGCUCUGGUUCCUCG